rnacentral:misc_RNA from 1 species
UUAAGUUCAGCGCGUAUUCCUACCUGAUCCGAGGUCAACCUUGAGAGGUGUGCCGGGGAGGCACGGGGGACCGGGUCCUGGACGCCCUUGUCCGAUACGUGCCUAGUUAAAAGCUCAGUGUACCGGGGGAACCACAGGCCGCCGUCAUUGUCUUUAGGAGGGGUCCAGUCCGGGGACUCGACCAAGCCGUCCAACAUCAA